AUCUACUGCUUAUCCGGGGCCGGGGGGCAAUAGCUUUAGCAGGUAAGCCCAGACUUCCGUCUCCCUAGCUACUUCUUCCAGCUCUCCCCGGGGGUUCCCGAGUCGUUCCCAGGCAAGCUGGCAAUAGUUCUCCAGCGUGUCCUGGGUCUUCCUCGGGGUCUCCUCCCGGUGGGACAUGCCCGGAACACCUCACCGGGCAUGUUACCAGUGAGGCGUUCAGGAGACAUCUGAAUCAGAUGCCCAAGCCACCUCAUCUGGCUCCACUCAUGAACAAGACCCCAAGAUACUUGAACUCCUCCACUUGGCGCAAGAUGUAUUGCCCAACCCGGAGGGGGGCACUCCACCCUUUUCCGACUGAGGACCACGGUUUCAGAUUUGGAGGUGUUCAUCUUCAUCCCAACCGCUUCACACUCGGCUGCGAAACGCUUCGGCGGCGCCUAGAAAUUCUGUCCAUGGUAAUGUUCAGAAUCGGCGACAAAGGGCACAGCCUUGGCGGAGUCCCACCCCCACUGGAAACGAUUCCGACUUACAGCCGGCAAUGCAAACCAAACUCUUGACAUCGGCGGUAUAGUGACCGAAUAGCGCGGUUCAGCGCGUUCGGUACCCCAUACCCUCGAAGCACCCCCCACAGAACUCCCAGAGGGACACGGUCAAAGUAUGAUCAAGUACCUCCUGAUCAAGUAUAGGGCUGUUCACACGGCAAGGUUUGGUCCGGGGCUGCCCCAGUAGAGCGUUCACACGUGCAAAAUAGCUCCGGAAAAGAGCUUAUACCGGACCAAAAUAUUUGCUCCGGAUGAAAUGCUCGUUUGCGAAGCAGCACCGGUGUAAUUUUGCACGUGUGAACGCAACUGGGUUAAAUUUGCUCCAGAGCAAAUGCUUGUGAAGAGUACGUAUGGCAAAAAUGCGUUGCUUUCGUGCUCUGUCGGACUUCCGUAAUGUGUUUGUUUCAUAACGACACAAGACUUGGCUAGUAACAUCUUUCCUUUUGUAGGAGACUGGACUGUCUCGGAGUUGUUUGUUCACAACCCCCCGCACAACCCCCAUAGAAUUUAUUUUGUGAUUUCCUCUCUUGAUUUUCUGUUUGGCGCAUUAGUGUUUGCUUUUCUGAGUGUCGUUGAAGUCAUCGUUCAUUUACGUUUUCUUGGGCGGUCACUCUCGGGCAGAAGGCACGGAAACCGAGAAGGAGAAGGACGUGCCGGUCCAGUAGUCGCUAGAGUUGUGUUUUCAGUACGUUUUAAAAAGAACCAACACGACAGCUCGUUUGUUUUCUGUCGUUUUGCUCCGCUGCAGAAACUGCCGUGUGAACGCCAGUGGGGCAGCCCCGACCGACACUUUGUCAGGGCUGACACUGUGUCGGGGCUGCCCCGCUCAGCGGUUUUGUACGUACUACGUGUGAACUAAUAUAUCGGUGCAGCGCCGGAGCAAAUGUGUGCCGUGUGAACGGCCCUUCUCAUGACCAAUAUUCUUUUUUUGAACAAUCAGGUGUUGACAAACUCACAAUCGUGUUGUGGAAAUUUGGCAAGCGGAUAUUUGAUGUUUUUAAUGUGUCAUCUUUUUUGGGCGAAUAAAGUAUGAAUCCCUUUUGAGCUGUAUGCACUUUUUUUUUUUACAGGAUUAGUCAUGAAAGCGUAAACAAAGACGCAUUCCAAUCUGCAUCUUUUUUUUCUGGUCUUGAAGUCGUCCACAGAAGUUGAAAAAAAUGUAUUGAUAUCCGUCGGAGGAGAAAGUAAAGCUUUUUGUUUUUAAAUGUAAAGCUAAAAGGUCAUUAGAAAAAGUUUUCAGUGACUUUGUAUCACUUGCUUUAGCAUGAUGGUGUCCUUGACGAUUGUGUUGUGUCAAUCAGUAGAGCAACUAUUUGAUUUAGUUACUGUCCAACACUUUAUGUUAUCGUGAGUAACUAACGUAAUUUGUAUUUGACGAAGGAGGAGCAAGUACUGCCAUCUGUUUUCAUAUUGUUGGGGAUGAGCGGCCUUUGUCUUCCUCCGCGUGUUCAUUAAUUUGGGAUGAUGACGAUGAUCACAGUAAGCAGGAAAUACGUUCAACAGCAUUCUGUAUUGUUUCUUUCAAGUGUCUGAACAAACACAACUAACAGAGGAACAAUACCUUAUAAUAAAAUAUUUUAAUUUGUUCUAAUGACCAAGUUUUAACACUUUGUUGGCCGCAGGUCUGCUCCACCAUGAGACGAAGAAUCAAUUACAGAAAGUAGUCCCCUAUGAGAACAAAUAAUGUUGGCAGUGAUGAAUUAAUCUCAGAAGAAAUGCAGCAGAACCAGACAAAUGACGUGGGAUCCUGCCCUGAACCGGUUGAGAACGACCAUUCAUAAAGUUGGCCAGUAGAGGGCAGAAGAACCACGAACGCUCAAGGAAAGCUUCGACAUUUUUAGACCAAAACAAACAGAAAAUUAAGAUACAACCAGAAACAAAAUUGUAACGAGAAUGUAUUUUUUCUUUCCAAGAAUAACACAUUGAAAAAUCUUAUCGCGGCAACUAAGCAUGAUGGGAAAGCCUCCUCCGAUUGCAGUUGCUGUCAAAAUGUUAGCGUCAGUUGGAUUAGUUAGUGCACCAGAGGUUGUGUGAGUGGGUUUCAAAAUAAGACUAAUACAGGAAGUUUGGUGUUAUCUGCCUUAAUCUUGCUGACAUAACAGCGUGACGUCACUCAUUGUUUACAACGGAAGCUCGGAGGUCGGCAACCCGGAAAUGGUUAAUGCACGCCGACGGAUGGCUCCACCGGUGUAAAUACAAGAUUUUGGGCAUUUACCCAACUUCCAGCAGAGAAAUAAUCAUGCUUUUGUGACACUCGCGGCCGUUAUUUGUCGAGACGGUCUAAAACGGACCCAAGCACGUUUCUCUCAGAUGUUCCCCCGUACGUCAUUUAAGAUAGUGACAUCAUGGACACGGGAUGUCACCGCUAUGGAUGGCGCGGACGAGGUGGUCUGAGGGGUUCGUUUGAUGUCAAAGGUCUGCGGUGAUCACAGGAAUGUGGAGAACACCCCCCCUCCCCCCGCCGCUUCCAGA